GAUGAAGAACGUAGCGAAAUGUGAUAAGUAAUGCGAAUUGCAGAAUUCAGUGAAUCAUCGAGUCUUUGAACGCACAUUGCGCCCCCUGGUAUUCCGGGGGGCAUGCCUGUCCGAGCGUCAUUGCUGCCCUCAAGCACGGCUUGUGUGUUGGGCCUCCGUCCUCCUCCCGGGGGACGGGCCCGAAAGGCAGCGGCGGCACCGCGUCCGGUCCUCGAGCGUAUGGGGCUUCGUCACCCGCUCUUGUAGGCCCGGCCGGCGCUUGCCGACACAUCAAUCUUUUUUCCAGGUUGACCUCGGAUCAGGUAGGGAUACCCGCUGAACUUAAGCAUAUCAAUAAGCGGAGGA
rnacentral:misc_RNA from 1 species